rnacentral:rRNA from 1 species
AGAGUUUGAUCCUGGCUCAGGAUGAACGCUGGCGGUAUGCUUUACACAUGCAAGUCGUACGAGAGUUUUUAACUCAAGUGGCGGACGGGUGAGUAACACGUAAGAAUUUGCCUUUAGGAGGGGGAUAACAACUGGAAACGGUUGCUAAUACCCCAUAUGCUUUCGAGUGAAAUGGAUUUUUCCGCCUAAAGAGAAGCUUGCGGCUGAUUAGCUUGUUGGUAAGGUAAUGGCUUACCAAGGCGACGACCAGUAUCUGGUUUGAGAGGACGAUCAGACACACUGGAACUGAGACACGGUCCAGACUCCUACGGGAGGCAGCAGUGGGGAAUUUUCCGCAAUGGGCGAAAGCCUGACGGAGCAAUACCGCGUGAGGGAUGACGGCCUAUGGGUUGUAAACCUCUUUUUUCAGGGAGGAAUAAAAUGACGUGUACCUGAAGAAUAAGCAUCGGCUAACUCCGUGCCAGCCGCCGCGGUAAUUC